UGGGGAAUAUUGCACAAUGGGCGCAAGCCUGAUGCAGCCAUGCCGCGUGUAUGAAGAAGGCCUUCGGGUUGUAAAGUACUUUCAGCGGGGAGGAAGGUGUUGUGGUUAAUAACCUCAGCAAUUGACGUUACCCGCAGAAGAAGCACCGGCUAACUCCGUGCCAGCAGCCGCGGUAAUACGGAGGGUGCAAGCGUUAAUCGGAAUUACUGGGCGUAAAGCGCACGCAGGCGGUCUGUCAAGUCGGAUGUGAAAUCCCCGGGCUCAACCUGGGAACUGCAUCCGAAACUGGCAGGCUUGAGUCUUGUAGAGGGGGGUAGAAUUCCAGGUGUAGCGGUGAAAUGCGUAGAGAUCUGGAGGAAUACCGGUGGCGAAGGCGGCCCCCUGGACAAAGACUGACGCUCAGGCGCGAAAGCGUGGGGAGCAAACA
rnacentral:rRNA from 1 species